AACUGUGCAGCUCUUCAAUGGAGCAGUCUUCCAACCUCUCACCCAAAAGUUUCCUGCACCGCCUCAACGCAGAUUAGUCCGUGGGCAGGUUGGAAGAACCAAAGUUCCUAAAGAAUGAAGAUGAGGGGCAUUAGAAGAGACCACAUUGCAUUACCAUCGCCAUGAAGAACAUGAUCAAAAGACAGCAUCGAUCGUGUUAGAUGGCUUGGUGGUAAACUAUCUUGUUCUUUGUCUUCAAAACUAGAAAAACAUCGUUCCUUUAUAUAUGUGUACUUUGGUCUUGGUUUUGUAAUCGUUGUUAGACAUUCGACGUUUUGUGAGA